rnacentral:misc_RNA from 1 species
UCCGGUUUGUCACCGGCAGUCUCCUAUGAGUCCCCGACAUUACUCGCUGGCAACUAAGGACAGGGGUUGCGCUCGUUGCGCCACUUAAGGCAACACCUCACGGCACGAGUUGACGACAGCCAUGCAGCACCUGUGCAGGCUCCCGAAGGAGCACCGGCUUUCACCGGCUUCACCCUGCAUGUCAAGCCCUGGUAAGGUUCUUCGCGUUGCGUCGAAUUAAGCCACAUGCUCCGCCGCUUGUGCGGGUCCCCGUCAAUUCCUUUGAGUUUUAACCUUGCGGCCGUACUCCCCAGGCGGUCAACUUCACGCGUUAGCUUCGUUACCAAGGGAAUCAAUCCCCCGACAACCAGUUGACAUAGUUUAGGGCGUGGACUAC